UUCUUGGGCCGCUCCCGCGGCAUAUGGAGGUUCCCAGGCUAGGGGUCCAAUCGGAGCUGUAGCCACCGACCUACGCCAGAGCCACAGCAACGCGGGAUCCGAGCCGCGUCUGCAACCUACACCACAGCUCACGGCAACGCCGGAUCGUUAACCCACUGAGCAAGGGCAGGGAUCAAACCCGCAACCUCAUGGUUCCUAGUCGGAUUCGUUAACCACUGCGCCACGACGGGAACUCCAAAGGUGACCUUUUUCUUCUCUAAGCCUUAGUUUCCUCAUCUGUAAAAUCAGUAUCAAGAUAACAGUAAUAAUGGCAGGAGUGGUGUCGGUCGUAAUAAUUACAGAAACAGUGUUAAUGACAAAUGCCUACUUCAGCGGGUUUCUGUUAGGAUGAAAUAAACUGAGUCGUGCAAAGUGCCAGCAGAGGGCCAGGCUGGCACUGUUCUGAGAGGUGGGGUGGCAGGGGGCAGGGGGCACUGCAGGAGAAAGCCCCUAUGGCCUGUCGGUGCAGCUGGUCUGCCAAAGCAUGUUGAGUUCAAGUUCAAGAGGUGGACUAGUGUUCUAAUUGCUUACCUUCUCUAAAGCCACAACACUCUCACUCCACAAAUGAAAAACACAAGCCCGUCGACCCGGGAAAUGCCAGUAGAAGCCAAUGAACACAAGGCAUGAAAGCAUUUUGAAAACAAUAUAAAACUACAAUGACUUUAUCAUUCGUUUAGCCUCCUCACACGGCUGCGAGCUCGUCCCGUCCCAAAGCCAGAAUGAACCAGCGAGUAUCUCUGGACCCAAAGGGUUCAGAUCUUCUGAAGCAGGAAAAUAGCUCCAAGUAAAAACAUCUCUAUCUUCCUGUGGGCUCUACCUGGAAUGCCAGGUACAUUCAAUAAAGAGGAAAUGAAAUGCGUUUCCUCAACAGACGUGUGUGUGCAGGCCAUGGGCCACCCUCCAAAAGGAUGCCCCUAGGCACCUGGGCACCGCGUGGCACCCACGGAAAGAAAAGCCCCCCCUUCACCCCCUGGCUGACACAGGCGCCAGCAGCACCCUUUGACUUGACACAAGGGGCCAGUGGAGCCCAGACAGGUCCCUCGCUUUCUCUAAACCGAUGUCCCCGAAUUCUCCAGGUGUGCCUCUUUUUCUCGUUGCAGGGCUCCUAGGAACAUGGCCCUCAGCAACGCUAGCAAAAGCCUCAGAGGCAGCACUUGAGGUUUUUAAAAGAUGUGUAGCAGAACAGUUUUUAAAGUGCAAACUUCAUGAGGCCGAAGCCCAUCAGAGCAAGCAUUUACUUCUUAAACUUCCCACUUUGUGUUAGGCGGGUGACAGGACCCAAGACACGGCCGCAAACACCAACGGUAAUUUCUCAGCAGGAGGCGCUCCGGUCCUUGCCCAACUCUUGUUCACCAAGAGCGUGGCCCUCCCUCCCUGUGAUGCUGGGUGACACCCCCCAAAAGAGGAGGGAAGGGAGAGUGUGAGUUUUGCCAAAGCCACCACCAGCCCUGGGACACACCCAGCUGUGCCCCCCCACCCCACCCCGAGCCACUGCCCAGAAGAAAGGCCUUCACUGAAGGCCCACACGCAGGCUGCUCCUCCUCCUCCAACCCGGGCUGGUUUUAUGCGCUGUGCUGUGCUGUGCUCGUCUUCUCUCGGGCCACACAGCCAAGCGAGGCCUUCAGCCCGUCUGCUGCCAAGAACCACACGGCGGAGCUUCAGAGCCGCAUCAGGGAAAUAAGCAUGCAAUAAACAAGGCCCAUGUUUGGGGGUCCCUCCACUCUGACGACUUACACACGUCCCUUCUGAGGCUGGCUGGGGGGGGCGGUAAUCUGCUUCCAGGGCAUCCCACUGGCGGCUACUCAUCUGCCCUCGCAUCCAUCAGCAAGCACGAUCGUUCGUUCCACACGGAGGGCCUGCCCCACAGAGGCUCCAGCAGAGUGACUGACAGGCUGGAUUCUAGAGCCACGCUGCCUGGGUUCCAGUCCCAGCUCUGCCCCUUAUGCGUUACGGAGUUUCAGUUUCCCUGCAUGUAAAAUGCAGAUGGUGAUCAUAAUACAAAGACCACCUCGCAGGGUUGCCUUAGAAAGACACAAUCCAUCAGCUGGCAGAGGGCAAGAGCAAGGUGACUGGCAGCCUAUGUGCCAGGCAGGCCGCCUCUGCAGCCGAGGAGGAGGCCUCACUUUCUAAAUCAAACAGUGCGUGCCUGUGGCUACAAGGGGGUGGGAAAAGAGCAAAUGAAUCCACAUCUCAGCAUGAAACCCACAGCCUCAUCCUGCCCUUUAAGAUCCUCCGCGAACACACGCCCCUACAUUCCCAGCCGGUUCUCCGCGCCAUCCGUUUCUUGAAGACAACAUCAAGCAGUUACGUGCCACGUCCUAUUUUCCCAUCAGCUCACCCCAGGGCCUUCCCCUUCCGAGGUCCUGCCCGGUCUUCCAAACCAAGCUCAAGACCACAAAGGCCGCCCCUGCCCCUAACCCCCCACCCCCAACCCCCUGAGGUCUUCCGGCGUCGACACAGCACCUACAUGCCUUGAUUGUUUUGCUACAUGGUGGCAUUUCACAGGCCGAACUAAAGUACAAGCAGCACAAAAGAAGGAUGAAUCUUCUAUUUCGUUGCAUGUCCCUAAGUGACUAGUACUGGGCUGUGCACUUAGCAGGACUCAGUGAACGCCUGAUGCUUCUGAAGGACACGGGUGGCACCAACAAAGCCAUCAUCAUUCUUCACAACAACCACCUCUCUGAGCAAUCCUCCCUCCUACUGCAGCAACUAAAGGCUCGACCUGUAGACCCAGGCUAGGAGUUCCCAUUGUGGCCCAGCAGGUUAAGGACCCGACAUAGGGCCCAUGAGGAUGUGGGUUCAAUCCCUGGCCUCACUCAGUGGGUUAAGGAUCGGGUGUUGCUUCAAGCUGCAGCAUCGGUCCCAGACGUGGCUCAGAUCCGGUGUUGUUGUGGCUGUGGUGGAGGCCGGCGAAAGUAGCUCUAAUUUGACCCCUAGCCUGGGAACGUCCAUGUGCUGCAGGUACAAUUGUAAAAAGAAAAAGAAAAAAAAAA
rnacentral:lncRNA from 1 species